rnacentral:lncRNA from 1 species
UGAGGAUCAAACCCAGUGCCUCACACAUGCUAGGUGAGUCCUCUAUCACUGAGCUACAACUGCAGUCCCUCGAUAUCAUUUGAAUUGGUGGUUCUAAUGUGUUUAGAUGCCUCUAAAAUUCAAGAAAUUUGAGCUUUAAAAAUGAAUGACUUGUUCUUUCUAGAAAGUUCUACAUAGUUCUCUUAGGAGGAAUUAUUAAGUAAAAUUCCUACAGUGUACUCUUAUUUUCAAGGAUACUUAGUUUCUGUAUAAUCAAGUUGGAGUAUUUAAUUUGGAGUCUAUAAGUAGAUUUCAAAUUUUUCAAAAUUAUCAUGAAAGUUUCAUUUAUUCAGGUUAAACUUACUAUUUGCUAAUAAACAUAGGAGUUAUUCAAAUAUAAGUAGUGACUGAAAGUACUAAAAAGCUUUUUUCAAAAAAAAUCUUGAAAUUUGGUUAUUUAUUGCACUAGAGGGCAAAAGGGUUUUAAUUUUGACGGAGGCAAAUAUAAACUCUAUAAGUUUUCUGCCAGUUAUGGAGUAGACAUUAUGGAAGUGUCCUUAACCUUAAUAUUAAUGAAAUAGGAAAAACAGUAAGAUUGAAAGGACAUCUUUUGAAAUGCAAAAGAACAUUGACUGGGAGAAAUACUUUUCUUGAAAAAUGUAGAACAUUUGUCCUAAAGGAUUUUACUUAUUUUUAUGGGUGGUUUGGUUUGGUUGGAAUGCUGGGGAUUCAACCCAAGACUUCAAACAUGCUAAACAAUCACUCUGCCAGUGAGCUACACCCCCAAAUACCUAAAGCACAAUUUUUUUAACUAAAAAAAAUGAUAAGAAAAAUUGGAUUUUUUCAAACAAUUUUUACUGGAGAUGUGCAUAACUGACACUUAGGUAGUCACAAGUUCAGGAUUUCUGGAAACAACAUUUAUUUGAGAUAUAUGAAAAUAUUGUGCUAAGAACAUAAUUUUUAAAUAUUUCCAAAAGCUUUUAAAAUUUAGUAUUUGUCUUCAAAAAGGUUUCCUUGGGGGUGGUUGGGAAUCCCAUUGUAGAACUGGAUCAUUAAACAGUAAUUUUCCUCUUCAGACUUCCAAGGAAAAUAAAGGUAAAGAAUUUGAGUUAGCUUAGAGGGAAGGAAUCAGUUCCACCAAAAUUGUUGAAUCAUAGUUUUGUCAGUGGGGCACACUUUAUUUUAAGAUGUUUAGACAUUAAUAAGACUGUGAAGCCACCAGGUGCGAACACCUAUAAUCCCAAUGGCUCAGGAGGCUGAGACAGGAGGAUUGUGAGUUCAAAACCAGCCUCAAAAACAUUGAGGUGCUUAGGAACUCAAUUGAGACCCUGUCUCUAAAUUAAAAUACAAAAUAGGGCUGGGAUGUGGCUCAGUGGUCCAGUGCCCCUGAAUCCUAAAUUCAAUCCCAGGUACCCAAAAAAAGAAGAAGAAGCCAUAGCCUCUGUUUAGGAUUGCCCCUCUUGGAUUUUUUUCCCCCCGUAAAAUAUUCCAGAGGUUAAAUUCAGUUGGAACUUUUCUCAACCUAGUAGGCACAUAAUAGGUGCUCAGUCGUUAAAUGGAGUGUUCCUGGGAAGAUCAGUCUCAAAUCUGAAAUUGGCCAUGGGUGAUGGGUCUAGUUUCCAGCAGGAAAUAGUCAUUCUGUCUUUGCCAGUCUUCAGACUAACACAUUGUUGAGACUUAAAUAAUGUUAUAUCUCAGUUGAGCAUAAUUUUUAUGACAUUUUUAAGUGCAGGCUCCAUAGUUUUAUAGUUCAAGAACUUACCUUGCUACUCUUCAAAAUUAUGAGAUUCUCGAUAGAAUUGUAAACACAUUUAAUGAACAUCAGCCCUGACACAUGUUAAUAUUAUUUUGCUCCUCUGGGAAAUAGGCCAGUAAAUUUUUACUGUUUGAGUGUUGUUUUAGUGAAAAUGACUCAAAACUUUUCAAUACCUACCUGAUAAGGUUGUUUUUUCAAAAAUGUGUUGAAAACUACUCAAGCCUUAGGUACAACUACUAGUAAUAGAAAUAACUGCUAAUAUGUUCCUUUAUCAGAAACACUACAUUUGUUAACUUAUUUCUCACAACUACCCAAUGAGAGAGCUGUAUUACUAUCUGUCAUAGGUAAGAAGUUUGGUCACGGGGAAAUGCAGGCCAGCAUCACAUAACUAGUAAGUGGGGGAGCUGGGAUUCAGGCUCAAGGGGUUUGUAGAGUUUG